CAGCUCAGCUCCUAAUUUUUAAAUGCUUUUCAUGCUUCUAAGACUUGUGGCUUUGAGAAAUCAUAUCUGUAACAUGUUAUGGAGAAUGUAAAACCUUUGAUUUCAUUAAUUUUAGAAAUUGUUCUUGCUUCCUUUAUUUUUUGCUUCUCAGUCUUACAGAGUUUUUUUCCCCCUAAGGAGCACAAGCCGUUUUCCGUUUCUAGUACUCCCACCAUGUCACGAUCCAGUUCUCUAAGUGGAGUAGAUAUGGCAGGGCUGCAGACAUCCUUCCUAUCUCAGGAUGAGUCUCACGAC
rnacentral:lncRNA from 1 species